UACGGGGGGAGCAAGCGUUGUUCGGAUUUACUGGGCGUAAAGGGCGCGUAGGCGGCCACCGCAAGUCACUUGUGAAAUCUCCGGGCUUAACCCGGAAAGGUCAACUGAUACUGCGGGGCUAGAGUGCAGAAGGGGCAACUGGAAUUCUCGGUGUAGCGGUGAAAUGCGUAGAGAUGUGGAGGAACACCGAUGGCGAAGGCAGCCUCCUGGGCCAACACUGACGCUCAUGCACGAAAGCGUGGGGAGCAAACAGG
rnacentral:rRNA from 1 species